rnacentral:tRNA from 1 species
GGUUCCGUGGUGUAGGGGUUAACAUGCCUGCCUGUCACGCAGGAGAUCGCGGGUUCAAAUCCCGUCGGGACC